CAUUCUUCAUACCUCAGGUGGGGCUCCUGGGCUAUUAUGAAAUGCCAAACUUCCCUUGGGGCUUUGAGGAUUGCACUUCUGAAUUCCUCAGAAGUUCAGGGAAGUAAAAGGGACUCUGCUGCCGAGUGGCCCUUAAUUUACACUUGAAUUCAGUGGAACAGCUUGUUUGGAAAAACUACAGAACAAAACUUGGUUUUAUGUUACUGGAAAGAUGUGUGCUUUCGGUAUCAGCAGGCAAUCGGAGUUUCUAUGGACCUGGUGCUAACAGAGUUAUAACAGCAUGAAACUUGAGUGAUACGGUGAUGAAUGAGCCUGCAGGUUGGGGGAAACAAAAUCAUGUGCUUUGGAACAGGAUGGUGUUUGGUAGGCAAGGAGGAGGAUCCUGCCACUGUAUAUGGUCACUAUUUUGUUCAUGUUCUGAAAUUCAGGAAGAGCCACACCUUAGACACUUCACGGCUUGACACUGCAGGAUGAUAACUGACUGCCACUUUGCAUGUGGAACAAGCACUCUGAUAUAAUACUCCUGGCUGCACUUGCCUGUUUGCAUGUUGCAGCUUGUGUCAUGUUUCAAACUUGUGAUGACAAAUAGGAACCAAAUUUCUGCACCUCUGCCCAUUGGUAUUGAUGGACUGGAUUUUCUCAGGAGCCAUCUCUGGAUGGAUUUGUGUCUCCAGAACAACUGCUUAUUUGCAUUAAUAAAUAGCCUAGUGUUAUGACUAAUUAA